UGACAUCAAACUACAUAUAUGCAGCUUAAAGAGAAACCACCAGAUAAGAAAACGAUCAGUAUCGAUUUUCUUCCAAAUUCAGGCUAAUAUGCUGCAUUAGAAACUUCAUAUGCUCUAACACAUCUAGUUUUGAUUACCCACUUUGAAGUGUGUGGUUGAAGAUCUUUGAGCAAAGUAAACAGAGGCAUUGUUGGAAUUUAGAAUAUGAAAUGGAAUUCAGUGGAUUGAAUUGUUAAAGACUAAGCCAAAGAUAUCUUAUUUUAGAUUAUAGAUGUAUAAGGGAAUAUGAAAUGUACCACUUACUUUACACAGAAUCUGACAGCUUAACUUCUGUCAUUCAUAUUGCACCAAUUUACAUAGUUUGUCAUUCAUAUUGCACCACUUUACACAGUUCAAGUCUUUUAUCUA